CACGUAGGCGGUUCGUUAAGUCGAAUGUGAAAUCCCCGGGCUCAACCUGGGAGCUGCAUCCGAUACUGGCGAACUGGAGUACGGUAGAGGAAGGUGGAAUUCCAGGUGUAGCGGUGAAAUGCGUAGAUAUCUGGAGGAACACCGGUGGCGAAGGCGGCCUCCUGGACCGAUACUGACGCUGAGGUGCGAAAGCGUGGGGAGCAAACA
rnacentral:rRNA from 1 species